UAGCUCUGCAGACUCGAGAAUUAUCUGUUAAAAAAGAUGAUCUACAACGGCAUGUUCAAGAAUGCAAAGCUAAUAUUCAACAGAAGAAGACCCACAUCGAAGAGAGCAAGAAGAAUAUUGACAAACUUGACGAGCAGAUUACACAGAAACAGAAGACAGUUCAGCAUUACAAAGAGAACACUAAGGGCCUGAAAAGGACUCAUGGCUUGUUACUGCAGUAUGAAAAAGUCCUGGAGAGCGAACUGGAGCGCAGACAAGAGAACUGCAAUCGGGACACGUGAGUCCGUUAAAAGAUCAUCAUGCAUGAAAUCCCCAAUGUGUAAAAAG